AGGAGGAGGAAGAAGAAGAAGAAGGGGGUGUCCUGAGUGGAGCCGGGCCCCGAGGGUGGCGGGGCGCGGUGUGGGCUCGGCACCGGGGGGGGGGUUUCACCGCCCCCCGGGCCUGGCCGCCAUUUGCUGGGCGGGAGCCAUGAGGGUAGGGCGGCGGCUGGCCCGGGGGUCGGCGGGGUGGGAAGCCCCGGUCCUCAGCCGAUCGGCACCGGCUUAAUUAAAGGCAUCGACUUAACUGAAAGCACAUCGAGAGCCUUUACAGGAGCUGUCGCCAAGCUCAGAUGCGGCAGCUGUCCCUGUCCCCGCUUCCUGUGCUGGGGGUGGCAGCGGGGUGGUUCUUGGGCUUGCCUCUCUCCGCCUUGCUCCCUGCUCUGGCUGUAAAACGUUCGGAAAUAAGGAGGCAAGCCCGAGGGAGACGGGAAACGUGACUGCACAAAAGGGGCUGGAGGGGCCGAGGAGCGAAAUACUCCCACUGGGAGAGCUGAACGCCAGCUGGACCGAGUGUAUGUCCAACCACAUGCAAAGCAGACAGUUACUAAGGCAGCAGACUGCCGGGGCAGAUGAAGUGUGGCCCUGCUGCUGAAACAGGGCCUGGGAGCCAGGGCUGCCCCAUUGUUAUGUCCCACUAAUGGGGGCAGUGGGGUCUGCCAGCCCCCCCGCAGCUCCGCUGGACGCCUGGGUGGCGGCAGGGUCUGUAAAGCCCAGGGCGUGCCUGCCCCUGAACCCCUCGUCCCUCAGGGAGCAAAAUUCAAUUUGGCCUUAACAUUUGAAAGAGCACUGGCGCCAGGGCUGGGUAUCUUGGCCUUCGUUUUGCAUAGGGCAGCCUUCGCGUGGCGUUUAAAGAUGAAUUAAUAGUUGAUAAUGCUAUUUAUUGUCUGCGUUUGAAAGCUAGCCUUGAAAAUAAAAGGAUCCCUUCUUAAUGCAUUAUGUAAUCACCGGAGGAAAAAAGCUCUAGAGAACAGUUUGUGCAUUUUUCUCUGGACUAUUAACUCAAACAAAUUCUGUAGAUUUCUGAUUACAAAUAAGUCUUAUUCAAGAAAUCUGUGUACAGUGACAAGUCAAUCCAGUGCUGAUGGAAGUUUUGUUCCCAAAAUGUAUGGGAGUCUCUGGGGGGAUAUAAGCCCUAGAACAGAGGAGGAGGAGACUAUUUCAGUAUUUCCUGUACUCGGAUGAACCUUAACUCUAGCUUUUGGAAUUUGUCCCACCUUUUUCACAAAGCAACCCCCAGGUCACCUGGGGAAAGAAAAAUGUGGAAUGAGCAAGGGAGAAACAACCAAGAGGGAAAGUGCUUUGUUCACAACUAAUAGGUCUACUCUUAAUUAGGUUGGGUUUGAAAUAAACAAGGAGGAUCCGUGCUGUGGAGUGGCUGCUGCCAAGGGGUUACAGGUCUCUCAGUUCACUUAGACCACCUAUGGGGAAAGCCAGAACAAUUACACCUCCUAGCAUUGACCAGACAGGUGGAAAGACUUCUAAGACUUCUGUGGUUUUUUUGUUGUUUUUUUUUUUCAUAUAACCUACAAUUUACUUGUGUCUUUUUGCUCAGUUAAGGAAGACGACGAUUUAUAUUCAUGUGACCACGUGUAUCAAUAAAAUCCCUGAUAGUUUUGGGGGAGAAACAAAAGAUUUUUUUCUAUUCAAAACUCAGUAUCUCUUUGAUCAAGGGUAAGAUUCUUUUUUCCAGUAGCCCUAAAAUUAGUACAUCUGUGUAUAUGAUUGCACUGAGGUCUGUGAAGUUUACUAACAAUUUCUGCAGGUGGGCAAGGUAGACCAAUCUUGGGAAUUUAGAAAGCAUUUCUGUUGAUGUUAGAAGCCUUACCACUGAGAGGCUGGAAACACACUGGUGUGCCACUUAGUCCACUGUCUUACUUCCAGCAAUAUUUUUUCUCUCACAAGAAUGCAGAACAAUUGACCAAAAAGUCGCAUUUUCUGUUCAACACCCUGAGGCUGAUUUAUGUCUCAUUAGUGUUUGUAAGUAUGAUAAAAUAAUCUAGAGUCCACCAAGAAAACAGGUGGAAAAAAUACUACUUGAUAGGGAACAAAGAAUUUUAUAUAGAAAGGCAUGAUGGGAAUUUACCAUUAAGCAACUUAGUUCAUGCUGAGUCUCCUGUCUUCUUUCCUGUUUUCGACUUUCUAAAGCUUUUGAGUGAAAGGGUCUGGUCUUAGUUCUGUUCUAGAAAAAAGACAGGGAUUAUAAGAAGCACGCUUGAAGAGUUAAGGAUUUUGCAGUCACUUAUUCAGGAGGAAGAAUUAAACUGGGCACUUUCUCCUCAUCUUGCAUUUGAAAGCAGAUUUGGCAAGGAGCUGUCUGUCUUUAGGUACCAAAAUGCAUUCUGGCCACUACAGAUUAGUUUAGUACGAAAUCAAUGGAACUGAAAUUGUACCCCAUGAGAAAAAAAAAAAAAUCAAGCUUCUCCACACACACUCCCAACUCCCCUCUCUGGAAUGGAAACUGUAUCCAAAUAUCUUAGGAGAGAAUUUGGCCCUAGGAAACUAUUCAACUUCACUGAAGCAAAAACAUUUCUUUUGUCUAAAGACAAUGACUCUUCUGGCUUGUAGACAGUCCAUAUUUAAAGAUAAGUUAUCUGUCUGUAUCAACUUUGGUUUUUGGUAUUUGGGUUGCAAGAGAAAAAUUUCAAGCUGGAUAAUUGACUUUUUUUUCUGAGUAUGAAUACUGAUUGUUACUUCUAAAUGGUAUGAAUAGCCAUCGCAAACUUUAAAGUCGUCUGAUGCAAACAUGAACUGGAAUGAAACAAGGUAAUCUAGAAUUCUACAGCAUUUAUAUGAGACGAUAUUGUUAUCUCUCAUUAAAUAACAGGGAUGAAAAUUACCUGCUUACAACAAAGCUAAAUAGAAUUUGGGAUUACACUUUUGGGUACGCACUGGUCAGUGAAAAAACAAAAAAAGUGCAGAGAGAAUAAUAUUAACUUUCCUUCUCUCAAUGAAACAGAAAAAUUGCUCUGCUGAAAAAAAAGUCUGGUGGUUUCACUGGGAAAAAUGUUGACACCGGCAUAGCAGAAUCAGGUCUCAUUAGCACAUUCCUGCUCCUCCACAUCCGAGGAUCAAACCAGCUUUAUGAACAAAGCAGGCCGGAAACUGGCAACCUGGCUGUGAAGGUUUCUCCCC